rnacentral:rRNA from 1 species
GAUGAACGCGGCGGCGUGCCUAAUACAUGCAAGUCGAACGCUGGAGAUCUAGCUUGCUAGAUCGAAGGAGUGGCGAACGGGUGAGUAAUACAUAAGCAACCUACCCACGAAGACUGGGAUAAUCUCUGGAAACGGGGACUAAUACCGGAUAGGUAAUCGGAAGGCAUCUUCUGAUUAUUAAAGGUUAAAAACACUGGUGGAUGGGCUUAUGGCGCAUUAGUUAGUUGGUGAGGUAACGGCCCACCAAGACGAUGAUGCGUAGCCGGCCUGAGAGGGUGAACGGCCACAUUGGGACUGAGACACGGCCCAGACUCCUACGGGAGGCAGCAGUAGGGAAUUUUCGGCAAUGGGGGAAACCCUGACCGAGCAACGCCGCGUGAGUGAUGACGGCCUUCGGGUUGUAAAGCUCUGUUGUAAGGGAAGAACGGUAGAUAGAGAAUAUCUAAGUGACGGUACCUUACCAGAAAGCCACGGCUAACUACGUGCCAGCAGCCGCGGUAAUACGUAGGUGGCGAGCGUUAUCCGGAAUUAUUGGGCGUAAAGGGUGCGUAGGCGGCCUGUUAAGUAAGUGGUUAAAUUGUUGGGCUCAACCCAAUCCAGCCACUUAAACUGGCAGGCUAGAGUAUUGGAGAGGCAAGUGGAAUUCCAUGUGUAGCGGUAAAAUGCGUAGAUAUAUGGAGGAACACCAGUGGCGAAGGCGGCUUGCUAGCCAAAGACUGACGCUCAUGCACGAAAGCGUGGGGAGCAAAUAGG